AGCGAACGCUGGCGGCAGGCCUAACACAUGCAAGUCGAACGAACCUUUCGGGGUUAGUGGCGGACGGGUGUGUAACACGUGGGAACGUGCCUUUAGGUUCGGAAUAACUCAGGGAAACUUGUGCUAAUACCGAAUGUGCCCUUCGGGGGAAAGAUUUAUCGCCUUUAGAGCGGCCCGCGUCUGAUUAGCUAGUUGGUUGAGGUAAUGGCUCACCAAGGCGACGAUCAGUAGCUGGUCUGAGAGGAUGGUCAGCCACAUUGGGACUGAGACACGGCCCAAACUCCUACGGGAGGCAGCAGUGGGGAAUCUUGCGCAAUGGGCGAAAGCCUGACGCAGCCAUGCCGCGUGAAUGAUGAAGGUCUUAGGAUUGUAAAAUUCUUUCACCGGGGACGAUAAUGACGGUACCCGGAGAAGAAGCCCCGGCUAACUUCGUG
rnacentral:rRNA from 1 species